rnacentral:lncRNA from 8 species
AUCCCUCCAUCUACUGAUGAACAUUCAUUAUGGGCAGCCAUGUCUUCACCUAGUCUAGACCCAAAAUGAAUCUAUUGUCCUGGAAAUACCUCUAACGCAAUAGUCUCGCAACCUUAAUAAUCUUCAAAAUGCCAAACCUACUGACUUUAUGGCUACCGAACUUGUUUACGAUCCCCUGUUCCUCACUACUAGUAGCAUCCUCCCAUUCUAUUGGCUGGUGGUGUUGUCAAUCACUCCACUGGUCCCGUUAGUUUCAUUGUGGUCCUGCAAAGACAACGCCAUCAUACCCCAUACUCAGCAGCUAUAGUGAGUGGGGCAGCUCGAAUAUCACACAGGAUUUAUGUAGGCUAUUAGGUUAUUAUUGUCACAAAAACAUCAAGCGUCUCAUCUUCAACUACAAUGGAAUACAUUCGUCCGGUUAAUUAGACGCCUUCGAAUCGGGCCUCUGUUUUCGCAGUACACAAAGCAAUGUGGAGCAAAUAAAGAUCCUGAUACACUGAAACCAGAGGUACGUACCUCAGCGCUGCCUGCCACAAUAAUUACAGCUCACACAGCAGACGGGCUCACACACACACACACACACACACACACACACACACACACACACACACACACACACACACACACACACACACACACACACACCAGCUGGCCACCGCUGGUCUGGAGUUUGUGCUACAGGCACUCCUGCUGUCCACAGCUACACUGUCUGUCUUUCUACCUCUACAAGUAGGAUGAUACUCAUAGCAAAUGUGUGUGUUUAUUGUUUCUCCUGUACAGUAGGUGUCUCCCAGCUAGGCAGCAGGGCCCUAGUGCCCCUACACUAGCUCAAAUCUCAGGUGACCAAGUCAGGACGAGAAUAUUCAGUAGCGUCCCAAUUGUGUCAAUCUCUCACUGUCUGGGCUGUGUAGGGUGAAAAAGGCAUAGGAUGUUUUGGCUUAAUGGGAUCUCUCUCUCUCUGUCGCUCGCUCGCUCUCUCUCUCUCUCUUCUCUCGCUCUCCCUCCCACAGUCCUCUAUCGCUUUCUCUCUGUCCCUCUCUCUCUCUCUUUCUCCAUGCUGCAAGCUAAAGCUCUGUGCAGGUCAGCCCAGAAAAUCACCCUACCAGUAGGGUGAUUCUUACUGUUUAUACAGUUGAAGUCGGAAGUUUACAUACACUUAGGUUGGAAUCAUUAAAACUCGUUUUUCAACCACUCCACAAAUGUCUUUUUAACAAACUAUAGUUUUGGCAAGUCGGUUAGGACAUCUACUUUCUGCAUGACAUUAGGAGAUUGAAAUUAUUUCACUUAUAAUUCAUGUAUCACAAUUCCAGUGGGUCAGAAGUUUACAUACACUAAGUUGACUGUGCCUUUAAACAGCUUGGAAAAUUCCAGAAAAUGAUGUCAUGGCUUUAGAAGCUUCUGAUAGGCUAAUUGACAUCAUUUGAGUCAAUUGGAGGUGUACCUGUGGAUGUAUUUCAAGGCCUACCUUUCAACUCAGUGCCUCUUUGUUUGACAUCAUGGGAAAAUCAAAGGAAAUC